ensembl:snRNA U6 U6 spliceosomal RNA
GUGCUUGCUUUGGCAGCACAUAUACUAAAAUUGGACCGAUAUAGAGAAGAUUAGCAUGACCCUUGCACAAGGAUGAGACACAAAUUCGUGGAGCAUUAUAUAAAAAA